UCCCUCGUGGCUUAGCUGGUAAAGAAUCUGCCUGCAAUGCAGGAGAUCUGGGUUCGAUCCCUGGGUUGGGAA
rnacentral:tRNA from 1 species